rnacentral:rRNA from 1 species
AUGAAGAAGCUUGCAAACCGAAUGCAGUUUGGUAUACCAGAGGAGAGCUCGUUAGGUGAUGGUUUGGGGGAAGGCUAUGGCAUGCUUGGGCAGGCCGGAAGUGGGAAGCUACGUGUCUCAGCUGCGCAAAAACAUACUUGCUGCUAA